AUAUCAAUAAGCGGAGGAAAAGAAACCAACAGGGAUUGCCUCAGUAACGGCGAGUGAAGCGGCAACAGCUCAAAUUUGAAAUCUGGCUCUUUCAGGGUCCGAGUUGUAAUUUGUAGAAGAUGCUUCGGGUGUGGCGCCGGUCUAAGUUCCUUGGAACAGGACGUCAUAGAGGGUGAGAAUCCCGUACGUGACUGCGCGCCUAUGCCCAUGUGAAGCUCUUUCAACGAGUCGAGUUGUUUGGGAAUGCAGCUCAAAAUGGGUGGUAUAUUUCAUCUAAAGCUAAAUAUUGGCCAGAGACCGAUAGCGCACAAGUAGAGUGAUCGAAAGAUGAAAAGCACUUUGGAAAGAGAGUUAAACAGUAC
rnacentral:rRNA from 1 species